rnacentral:rRNA from 1 species
GACGAACGCUGGCGGCGUGCUUAACACAUGCAAGUCGAACGGUAAGGCCCCUUCGGGGGUACACGAGUGGCGAACGGGUGAGUAACACGUGCGCAACCUGCCCUUGACUCUGGAAUAACAGUUGGAAACAGCUGCUAAUACUGGAUAUUCAUCGUCUCCUUCCUGGGGGGUGGUGGAAAGCCCCGGCGGUCUGGGAUGGGCUCGCGGCCUAUCAGCUUGUUGGUGAGGUAAUGGCUCACCAAGGCUUCGACGGGUAGCCGGCCUGAGAGGGCGACCGGCCACACUGGGACUGAGAUACGGCCCAGACUCCUACGGGCGGCAGCAGUGGGGAAUAUUGCACAAUGGGCGCAAGCCUGAUGCAGCAACGCCGCGUGCGGGAUGACGGCCUUCGGGUUGUAAACCGCUUUCAGUAGGGACGAAGGGUGACUGACGGUACCUACAGAAGAAGGACCGGCUAACUACGUG